UACGUAGGGGUCGAGCGUUGUCCGGACUUACUGGGCGUAAAGCGUGCGUAGGUGGCUAGUUAUGUGCCGUGUGAAAGCGCCGCGCUUCUCGCGGCGAGGUCGCGGUAGACAGACUAGCUAGAGGCACGGAGAGGGGCGUAGAAUUCCCGGUGUAGUGGUGAAAUGCGUAGAUAUCGGGAGGAAUACCAGUGGCGAAAGCGGCGCCCUGGCCGUGACCUGACACUGAGCCACGACGGCGUGGGGAGCAAACGGG
rnacentral:rRNA from 1 species